rnacentral:other from 7 species
UCUGCUAUACUAUAUGUGUCCGGAGGGUAUAAAUUUUUCCUACGCUUAGAGAUAAGGGAGAUCGGAUGUUGUUAGAUGGUGUUGAAUACCUGCUACGUGUAGGGAUCCUAAUGUCUAACGCAGAUCACCCACCUGUAUAUACAGGGAAAGAUCUCUCCCUUCGGACGUAUAUGAGAAAUUGAC